AGCAAACUCGGGAAGGCGCG
rnacentral:miRNA from 1 species